rnacentral:rRNA from 1 species
GACGAACGCUGGCGGCGUGCCUAAUACAUGCAAGUCGAACGCUUCUUUCCUCCCGAGUGCUUGCACUCAAUUGGAAAGAGGAGUGGCGGACGGGUGAGUAACACGUGGGUAACCUACCCAUCAGAGGGGGAUAACACUUGGAAACAGGUGCUAAUACCGCAUAACAGUUUAUGCCGCAUGGCAUAAGAGUGAAAGGCGCUUUCGGGUGUCGCUGAUGGAUGGACCCGCGGUGCAUUAGCUAGUUGGUGAGGUAACGGCUCACCAAGGCCACGAUGCAUAGCCGACCUGAGAGGGUGAUCGGCCACACUGGGACUGAGACACGGUCCAAACUCCUACGGGAGGCAGCAGUGGGGAAUAUUGCACAAUGGGCGAAAGCCUGAUGCAGCAACGCCGCGUGAGCGAUGAAGGCCUUCGGGUCGUAAAGCUCUGUCCUCAAGGAAGAUAAUGACGGUACUUGAGGAGGAAGCCCCGGCUAACUACGUGCCAGCAGCCGCGGUAAUACGUAGGGGGCUAGCGUUAUCCGGAUUUAUUGGGCGUAAAGCGAGCGCAGGCGGUUGCUUAGGUCUGAUGUGAAAGCCCCCGGCUCAACCGGGGAGGGUCAUUGGAAACUGGGAGACUUGAGUGCAGAAGAGGAGAGUGGAAUUCCACGUGUAGCGGUGAAAUGCGUAGAUAUAUGGAGGAACACCAGUGGCG